UACGUAGGGUGCGAGCGUUAAUCGGAAUUACUGGGCGUAAAGCGUGCGCAGGCGGUCUGUUAAGACAGAUGUGAAAUCCCCGGGCUUAACCUGGGAACUGCAUUUGUGACUGGCAGGCUAGAGUAUGGCAGAGGGGGGUAGAAUUCCACGUGUAGCAGUGAAAUGCGUAGAGAUGUGGAGGAAUACCGAUGGCGAAGGCAGCCCCCUGGGCCAAUACUGACGCUCAUGCACGAAAGCGUGGGGAGCAACAG
rnacentral:rRNA from 1 species